AACGAACGCUGGCGGCAUGCCUAACACAUGCAAGUCGAACGAGACCUUCGGGUCUAGUGGCGCACGGGUGCGUAACGCGUGGGAACCUGCCCUUAGGUUCGGAAUAACUCCCCGAAAGGGGUGCUAAUACCGGAUAAUGUCUUCGGACCAAAGAUUUAUCGCCUUUGGAUGGGCCCGCGUUGGAUUAGCUAGUUGGUAGGGUAAAAGCCUACCAAGGCGACGAUCCAUAGCUGGUCUGAGAGGAUGAUCAGCCACACUGGGACUGAGACACGGCCCCGACUCCUACGGGAGGCAGCAGUGGGGAAUAUUGUACAAUGGGCGAAAGCCUGAUCCAGCAAUGCCGCGUGAGUGAUGAAGGCCUUAGGGUUGUAAAGCUCUUUUACCCGGGAUGAUAAUGACAGUACCGGGAGAAUAAGCUCCGGCUAACUCCGUG
rnacentral:rRNA from 1 species